UGGGGAAUUUUGGACAAUGGGGGCAACCCUGAUCCAGCCAUCCCGCGUGUGCGAUGAAGGCCUUCGGGUUGUAAAGCACUUUUGGCAGGAAAGAAACGUCAUGGGUUAAUACCCCGUGAAACUGACGGUACCUGCAGAAUAAGCACCGGCUAACUACGUGCCAGCAGCCGCGGUAAUACGUAGGGUGCAAGCGUUAAUCGGAAUUACUGGGCGUAAAGCGUGCGCAGGCGGUUCGGAAAGAAAGAUGUGAAAUCCCAGAGCUCAACUUUGGAACUGCAUUUUUAACUACCGGGCUAGAGUGUGUCAGAGGGAGGUGGAAUUCCGCGUGUAGCAGUGAAAUGCGUAGAUAUGCGGAGGAACACCGAUGGCGAAGGCAGCCUCCUGGGAUAACACUGACGCUCAUGCACGAAAGCGUGGGGAGCAAACAGG
rnacentral:rRNA from 1 species